rnacentral:lncRNA from 1 species
CGUAAUAUUCCGUUUUACAACUUCUUGUAAUAACUCAAGCUUCAAUAAAAUGUUCUUUUCUAUAUUCGUUUGGGUCAAAACAUCAAUAAUCUAUAUCUCAGAAUAUUACUUAGAGUUGUUUUUAAUAAAUAAAACCCAACAUACAACUUUAAUGAUGAAAGUUUAAUCAAAUAUCAAUCCCACAAUACAUAAAUUAUCAAUCCAAAGAAGCGACAAGAUAAAUUCAAAAUACAAGUGAAGUUACACCUUUCUUCACAUUUUUGACACGUUAUGUCAAAAUAAAGGAACUUUUAUUAAAAUAAAGGUGUCCUCUAAUUUUCCUUAAAUACAGGCGGCCUGUAUUUUAUUAAAAGACAAAAAUAAAAGACGCAAUACUGCGCAUGCUUAUAUGUCAAAAUAAAGGAUCUUUUAUUACAGGUCGACUUAAAAGACGUUGGCAAUAACUCUCUAUUAUAACAAUAAAAUAUUUGUUUUUAAAAGUUUAUAAAUUUUAUAAAAUCCUUAAAAUCAGCUGUAGACGCAGUACUACCAUACCAAUGUAAGGUGACAGGGUGACAAACAAAAUUUCGACCAAUCACGUGCCGAAUUUCAUACAGUUUUCGAUACAAGAACUUGCAUAGUGUCAUACAGGGCACAAAUGUACAUACAAGAAAUGAUACAAGAAAAUGUAUACAAGAAACGAUAUCAGAAACGAUAUUAGAAAUGAUACAAGAAAAUGCAUAGUGUCAUACAGCCUUAAUACUUACAUGAUUGUUUAAACAAAAGAGACCCAGCCAGAGCAAAACGCAAAACUAACAGACAGAACUGCAAAAAAAAGCCACUAAUUUCCAUUUUUCCACCCCCUUAUCUUAUAUGCAUUUUCCAAUCAAAAUUUUUAGGUUGUCAUGAACAUGAAAGACUCAACCUCAACAAAUAAUUAGGCAAUCCAAACCACGUGACCUCUGGUUGGCACACAAACUAACAAAGAGGUUAUGUUUGUAUCUAUUUUUCAAUGAUUUUUCAUUGUUUAUCGUCGUAUUUUGUCUAUUUUGGAUGCAUUUGGAUUUCGUUUCCUGUUUUUGUCAACUUUAUAAACUUUACCACAAUGCAAACUGAUUAUUUAAGGAAAUUAUUAUUGGAAACUCCAGAUGUUGCGAGAAAGAUAUUUAUUGAAGCUGAAAAUAAUUGGGGAUUUAGAUCCACACGCAAUACGCAAUUCAGUCAGAAUUGGAUUUUACAGUAAAGUGCAGACCAUCAAGUUACUAUUAUAGAUAUUUAUACAUAUCUGGUGGAAUCUCGGAGUUGCUACUCUAAGCAGCAGAUGAAAGCAUACAAAAGCCUUCAGGCACAUAAAUAUUUUACAGCUGGAUUUGUUUUGAAUAGAGUAAAAAUUGUUAAUGAUUUCCUGAUUUCCAUAUUAUUGUUGGAAAGGUGAAGCAUUUCCAAAAAUCUAAUGCUAAACGACUAAAUGCUUGGGUGGGGUGAUAGCCAGUUCUGAUGACAUAGCAAAUGCAGAUUGUAUGUGUAUGGCUGGUAAUAGUGAAGUCUGCAGCAAUCCUAUUUUUAGCUGAGUAUGACCAGGGCAAGACAGACGAAGAAGAACCCAAUGCAUGUACAUAUGUUACAGCUACAUGGUUUGGAGAUAGUAACAUAUGCAUUCUCUGAUGAAAAACUAAUGAGUUUUGAAACUGUUCGGUCAGAGUGCUUCUUGUGCUCACUAAACGAACUGAAAUAUAAGAUGGCUUUGGCAUUGUGUUGCAGCGAUAUGAAAAUGGUUAUUCAUUUUUAAUUAUAAUGUACUUCUUCAUCAUGAGUAAUUAUGUAUUGGUCUUUUAGAUGUGUAUUUAUUUUUGUAAUUAGUAUCAACUUGUAAUGAUAAUAUACAUUUAUCGUUUAAGGUAUGACUAUGUUUUGACUCUAAAAUAAAUGAUUUAAAAAUCGAA